CUCCCGGCCGCGCGGGGAGCAGUGCCCGGCCCGGCCCCGCCUCGUGGACACCGCCUCCUCCUCACGCCCGAGGCGCGCACAGCCCGGACGCCGAGCGGGUCUCCGAGGAGACCGGGUCGGCGCCGCCCCGGGGGAGAGCGGGAACGGGGCAGCGGCCCGGGGGAGGCGGAGAUUCUUCUUCCAGAGGUCAAUAAGGACUUGAUGACAUGAAUAUGGAAAUUUCCAGUUCUAGGAGCUGUUACCUACCCCAGGCUGAUGUCUGUUGCAAGGCUGCCAUGAAGGGCUAAGCUGUGUAACACCAAUGCAUCACUGCUGUCUGAAGAGGAAGACAGAGCUACUCUCCCUGGUCCUCUUGAUGCCAGUGCCAUUGUUCCAUGUCCUUAACUACUGUUGUCUUUGAAAUAAAGGAUUUCAUUUCAUUGUGGGUCCCUAUUGUAUGCAUAUAUUAGCCUUUAGGAUGUCUGCAUCAAAAUUUGAUGCUUAAUUCCUCUGGCAUUUCAUGGUAGGGUCUUUAAGCUAAAGAGAAAUGAAAUGCCGUUGUUCUCCCCAGUUUUGAAAACCCACUGACGGCUGUUUGUUCAGUUGAGGCUGAUUUCUGUAGGUAUUUGUGUUUACUGCAGAAAACACCUCAGCAUGGUUUGUCCAUAAUUACAUACUGUGUCGAGUACCCAGGGCAUGUUCUCAAUUCCUUUUAGAAAUAUGCUUUGGUUUUAGUUAAUCAAAGAGUAGACUUAAUUAGAAAAGAUAGAAAAUACGGUCUAAGAAUAGCAAAUGUGGUAAUCCCAUUAGCCUAAAGAUUUUAAAGCCUUUUUUUGAAGCUGUUUAUGAGUCUCUUUACCUUAAAAGUCAGUUUCAAAAAUCAAAAAACUCUUCAGAUGUUUAUGAGGUUAUUGUGCAGAUGGCAGCAGACACGGGUAUGGCAUACGCCUUCCAGCAGAACGAGUACCAUCAAAAUAAGGCAAAAGAAUCUUGAAAGAGGGAAACAGGCUCUGCUCAGGUUAUCUUUUGAUAAGAAGUUUUUACCCAUUGGAGUACUGAGCCUUCUGGGGGAACUGCUUCCUUAUUGUCCAUCUGCCUUUGUACAUAUGUAAAGGAUAAACUAAUUCUGGAGCAUCUGAAAGAUGAUAUGUCAGAGAUUACAUUUAAUAUUUUCAAAGAAAAGAUCAGAAGAUUUUAUCUGUUUAGAGAUGAUACUGAAGUGAAACCAUAAAUUCAGAAUUCCUGAAAUAGUGAUUGUUACAGGAUUUUUCUUGUAAAGUUGUUUUCCCCCGGUAAUGACAUCGAUCUGUGGCGAACUGAAGAAAGGAGAAAAUGACCCUGAGGGUCUGUAUUUUAAAAAUAAACCCUGAGCUCAGCCAGCAUGGAUUAGGGCAGUGCUCUGACAGCCGAAGACGUUUGCUUUGUGCAGGGAGGCCAGGAUGUCUGUGGCUGUCAUUCUGGCCACUCCAUUGGCUCAUUCAGGCUCUGUAUCCAGUACAGUUGUGAUUGUCCCAGCUCAGACAGGGCUGAACUGAUGGCUGCAGGGGAGGCAGAUUGAUAUAUUUAUUGUAGAGUGAAUGCAGAGUGGAAGAUAGGUGGCAUCUGAGUCAUCUAUUGCAGUCCCAUCACAUCUGCAUUGUGUUACAUGGACUACUAAUUAGCAGAGCAGAGGCAGAAGCUGUUGCUUAUGGAGGAACUGUUAGUAACGGAGGGAAGGCCACCUCAGCUAAAUAGGCUGAAAGAAUCUCUGUGUGCAUUUGUUGGGAUUUCUCAUGAAAAUGAUCUCGUCGUACAUCAAAUUCAGAAAGCUGAAAUUGCUGGAUACAUAGCACAGUGCAGCUGCAACAUGAAGUAAUGUGGGAAAUAAUUGACUGACCCAUAAUGAUAUUUUGAUGUAGUAGGUAAAGCACAGUGCGGUGCAGGUUCUUGUGAUGUUGGGUGCUCCUCCAAAAAAAGAAUGGAGAAGGAGAAUCACUGUGGAAAGAGUUUGAGAGUUUCACAUUCUGCAUUUGAGUUGUUGGUGUGCUGAUAGAUAUUCAAGUAGAUAUACGUAUUUUUAAUAAGCAUCAUCACAUGGUAGAUUGCAUUACCAAUUAAGAAGCGGUCAUAGGAUGAUCAUGGGGAAUGUAGGUAUAGUUCUCAGAUAAAAUUGUAAGUUUCGUGUUUUGAAAUUAAAAAAAAAAUAAUAAUAAAAAUAUAUUAAAAGCUUAUCAUUUAAAGAAUCUUAAUUUUAGAGUAAUUACAUUUCAUUUUUCUCUCUUAAGCUUUGAAGCUGCAUGGAGAAUUUGUGGGAACAAAUAACCUGGGAAACUGAUGGAGUGCUGAUACUGAAAUUCAGAGCCAGUUGGUAGAAAGUAAUUAAAGCCUGUGUGUUCCCUGUGUGAGGGAGGAGAAUGGAGAUUGUGUGAAAAGUCAUGAUCUGCAUCUGUAGGUGUGCCAAGCUGUUAUGUAGGAUGCUUCCCUCAGCCUCAUGCAAACAAACUCAUCUAGUGUGGAAUGAUUGAGAAGCACUUUUCUAGUCUAUUUUGGCAUUCAAGAUGAUCCAGUUCCACUCUGAUGUUUUAUCUUUGUUCCCUUGUCUUUGCAUUUUCUUAUUUGUCGCAACUGAUUCUUUCAUUUUGACCUAAGAUUAGCAGUUCAGGAGUUUGGUGGGCCCUCCUGGAACAGUACAGAAAGCCUUGCCAGGGGUGAUUCCUAGAGGAGAAACUAGAAAGGGCUGUCAGACCUGAACCAUAUGACUAAUAAGGGAUACUUAUGCUUUGAAAGGGCUGAAAAUCAGGUGACACGUUGGACAAGCACUGUGCUGUUACAUGAGCUUAUGUGAAAAAGACUUUAUUGAGAGUUGCACAGUAUUUUAAUUCUGCCUUUCCCAUCCUGACUUAGAAAUGAUAUUAUUUCAGUUUAUACAGCAAGAACAUUCCUAGCAUUUAUGGUUGCAUCAGAAAGUUUGAAGAUGCAAUUUAAAUAUGGCCUAAGACUUGGAAACUUGAACAUACUCCCCACUACUUAUUUUUCACAAGUUUUCACUUUAAUAGUUAGAAUUAAACAUUUUGAGGCCCAGAAAUAGGGAUAUUGAUAAUCAGUUGAAAAAUCAGUGGAAAAGAUGUCUGGGGUAUGUAUGAAAGAUAUGAACAUGUAGUUCCUAUUUCUCCAGCAUCUGAACCUCUGUGCACUGGACCUCAGGUUGGAAGGCCAGAACUUGCCUUUGGAAGAGUUAGGGUUUUAUUUUUAUUUUUUAUUUUAUUUCAUUUUCUGAGGAUUUCCUGUAAUUUUUGUUUUUCACAAUUAAAGUUUUGAGCCUAUUCAAUGUGGAUUCCCACAGUGUGUGAUUCUUUUUUUUUUUCUUUCUCCCUCAAAAAUCUCUGCUUGUUUAUACAGUCUUUGGGGCUACAUUGCGUUUCUGUUUAGAGGGCUUUUUGUCAGUUAUUUACAGUCUCUUAACUCAGUUUAAAGGAUAAGGUCUUACUAAGACCUAGCUCUGUUUGGUAUUGAUGAACUGAGAGAAAGGAGAUGAGCACUUAAAGUUGAAUUAAGCUUCCUUUUGAUUUCUUUAUAUGAUCUUACUGUCG
rnacentral:lncRNA from 1 species